rnacentral:lncRNA from 1 species
CACAGUACCAAAUUCACUAAUCCUGUGCUGAUUUAUAUUUCUGGAUUAAUUGCAGUGAAUAAGGAGCAUCACACCGGUGUAAAACUCAUGUGAAGGAGAUGAGAAUCAAGCCCAGAGGGAACAGAGGAGCUGCAAUGCAGGAGCCAGUCCUCCCUGAGCAACAGUUAAGUGAAGGAAGAAGAGCUUCCAGAGCUAACUAAGAGUUAACUGGCUACGUUUCAACUGUCACCAUUGUCUUACAUCUACAUAGAGAGCAGGAGAGAGUCUGAGAGAUGUACUUAGCACUUCUGAAAUGCAAGCUCAAGGCAGGUGGUGUUGAACAUCUACGUUUGGAGAAGUCUUUCUGGAGACCUGAUGGAAAUUAUUUGCUCAAAUAUUAGUGGUAAGGCAUGCGCUCAGUGGUCAAUGCAACUGUUAGAAGGUGGCUUCCCUCACACUGUGUGAAAGUCCGUCUCCGAUACCCCAGGUUUCUCC